rnacentral:lncRNA from 1 species
GCCUGCUUUGAUUCCCGGCCUGAGGACCAGGGCAAGGUCAAAGGCCCAAAUGUGCAGUCAAUCUAGCGUUGCUUCAGAAAUAGACACAAGAUCUACAGGAUGGAGCCCAGAGCUCACCAGAGAGUUCCAAAAGAAGGAGGAGGGCCCAGGCGUCCUUGCUCAUGGCUCGUGGCUGCAGUCUCUGCCCCUGUGUCGCUGGGCCUUCCACGUCUCCUCGACACACUGAUCCAGAAUGAUCUGUUCAUCGGUCACCUGCAAAGGCUCAAGGCAGGCCCAGUCCUGGGGCUCUGUGUGG